UGUGCAAGCUGACUUAUCGCUGUUUAUUCAGAGGAAAGUCCGGACACCAAAGAGCAAUGCAACGGGUAACACCCGUCAUCUAUUUAUAGAUAGGAAUAGUGCAACAGAAAGUAUGUACAGGUAAUGCUGUAGUGGAAUCUUGUAAACUCUGCAUGGUGAAACGCCAAGUAUAUCUACAUUUUAAAAUUGCUCGUUUUAAGUAGAAGGGUAGGCGGUAUGAAUGUAAUAGUAAUAUUACAUCUAGAUAAAUGAUAAGACUCGACAGAAUCCGGCUUAUAGGCUUGCUUUUUUU
rnacentral:RNase_P_RNA from 1 species